GGAGAGUCCAGCAGAGAGAGCUGCUUUUUCAUGAAACGGGAUGUAAAAUACUAAACUUACAGGAACGUAUACCACUACCAACGUUUGGAUCGAUAUCUGCAUCGAUCAGCACACCCUUGUCUCCUGGAAUGUAGCUGAGAUCAGCGUGAACCACGUGGGUCUCUGCUCCGUCUCUGUGUUUCUUAAGACUUCCAGCUUCAUCACGGAGUUUCUCUCGGCUUUUUGUGGGCUCAUCUAAAGCUGAGUAACAGGAGGAGAAGAAUGGUGGUGCAGCAGAGGAUAAAUUUCAGCCAUUUGGACUCAGCUCAGCCACUACAGAGGAAACAAUGACUUCAACACAAAAGGACCAACAUGGAGCAAGAAGUCAGCGCUCUCAGGAGGCCGACAAACCUUACAGAAGAAAGGGAGAG